GGGUUGUGAGGUUAAGCGACUAAGCGUACACGGUGGAUGCCCUGGCAGUCAGAGGCGAUGAAGGACGUGCUAAUCUGCGAAAAGCGUCGGUAAGGUGAUAUGAACCGUUAUAACCGGCGAUGUCCGAAUGGGGAAACCCAGUGUGUUCCGACACACUAUCAUUAACUGAAUCCAUAGGUUAAUGAGGCGAACCGGGGGAACUGAAACAUCUAAGUACCCCGAGGAAAAGAAAUCAACCGAGAUUCCCCCAGUAGCGGCGAGCGAACGGGGAGGAGCCCAGAGCCUGAAUCAGUGUGUGUGUUAGUGGAAGCGUCUGGAAAGGCGCGCGAUACAGGGUGACAGCCCCGUACACAAAAAUGCACAUGCUGUGAGCUCGAUGAGUAGGGCGGGACACGUGGUAUCCUGUCUGAAUAUGGGGGGACCAUCCUCCAAGGCUAAAUACUCCUGACUGACCGAUAGUGAACCAGUACCGUGAGGGAAAGGCGAAAAGAACCCCGGCGAGGGGAGUGAAAAAGAACCUGAAACCGUGUACGUACAAGCAGUGGGAGCCUCUUUAUGGGGUGACUGCGUACCUUUUGUAUAAUGGGUCAGCGACUUAUAUUCUGUAGCAAGGUUAACCGAAUAGGGGAGCCGGAGGGAAACCGAGUCUUAACUGGGCGUUAAGUUGCAGGGUAUAGACCCGAAACCCGGUGAUCUAGCCAUGGGCAGGUUGAAGGUUGGGUAACACUAACUGGAGGACCGAACCGACUAAUGUUGAAAAAUUAGCGGAUGACUUGUGGCUGGGGGUGAAAGGCCAAUCAAACCGGGAGAUAGCUGGUUCUCCCCGAAAGCUAUUUAGGUAGCGCCUCGUGAAUUCAUCUCCGGGGGUAGAGCACUGUUUCGGCAAGGGGGUCAUCCCGACUUACCAACCCGAUGCAAACUGCGAAUACCGGAGAAUGUUAUCACGGGAGACACACGGCGGGUGCUAACGUCCGUCGUGAAGAGGGAAACAACCCAGACCGCCAGCUAAGGUCCCAAAGUCAUGAUUAAGUGGGAAACGAUGUGGGAAGGCCCAGACAGCCAGGAUGUUGGCUUAGAAGCAGCCAUCAUUUAAAGAAAGCGUAAUAGCUCACUGGUCGAGUCGGCCUGCGCGGAAGAUGUAACGGGGCUAAACCAUGCACCGAAGCUGCGGCAGCGACGCUGAUGCGUUGUUGGGUAGGGGAGCGUUCUGUAAGCCUGUGAAGGUGUGCUGUGAGGCAUGCUGGAGGUAUCAGAAGUGCGAAUGCUGACAUAAGUAACGAUAAAGCGGGUGAAAAGCCCGCUCGCCGGAAGACCAAGGGUUCCUGUCCAACGUUAAUCGGGGCAGGGUGAGUCGACCCCUAAGGCGAGGCCGAAAGGCGUAGUCGAUGGGAAACAGGUUAAUAUUCCUGUACUUGGUGUUACUGCGAAGGGGGGACGGAGAAGGCUAUGUUGGCCGGGCGACGGUUGUC
rnacentral:rRNA from 1 species